AGGGCUUCCAAAGAGGACUGGCUCAGUGGCAUCUCCACAGCCACUCCUGAGCACUGCCGAAGUGACUGGGUUUGUGCCGGUGGGAGGGACACCGUGAUGAGGGAAAUGAAGACACCAAUACAUGCAGAAUCUUACCUGAGCUCCUGUUCUGUUGUGGCCAGGCUGGCAUUUGAACUUGGAUGACCCCACAUGAAAAUUAAGCCUCUCACUUUACAGAUGAAUCAACUGAAGUCCCUAGAUCACCUGCCUCAUCAGUUGCAGAUUUUGGAACCCAGGGCUUCUGAAUUUGUGACCAGUGUGCUUCGCAUGACAAGAAGGUCGACUGUAAAGAGCAGACUCUGCCUUUGGUCUCUUCCCUUCUGAGGGCAUCCUGCGUACUCUACAACCUACAACCUGCUCGAACUCCCAAGCCCUCAACACACACACACAUCCAUGUUUUGGUUUCCCCCUAACCACUGAUGAUGGUCCUAGACUCUGCCCAUCCUGACCGCUAAUAUCUCUGGCGUGGAUCCCACGGUCCAGCCGGACAGCCCCUCUGAUGCCUGUAGGAACAAGAUACAUGCUUUCCUCACUCCAUCUUUAUUCACCGUUUCCCACUAGUUGGCCUGCUCUCUUCCUGCCAGACCUACAGGUCUAAAUGAUACCUGUCUUUCAGACCCAUCGGAAAUGCCACCACUUUGAUGAAGCUUGUGAAGUUGUGUAGGAUCUGUUGCUCUUGUUGAGGGUUAAGGGACAGGGGGGAAAGAAAAUGGGGUGGAACUCAGGAAAAUAGUUCUGAAGCUUGGAAAUGGGUGUCGCAUUGUAUAACCCAAGGCCAGUCAACAGCCACAAGACCUGUGGCUUUUUGAGUUCUUGCUGUGUCUUGAAACAAUGAGUGCCAUGACACUUUCUGAAGUCUCCACAGCAAGUCAUCAUUUUGCUGGAGCUGGAAUUCCAGCCAAUCCUGCCUGAAGUCAAAGCUUGUGCUCUCCUUUACCAUUGUAUGAUCUCCCAAGACAACAGGUCACGUGGCAAGAAAAGAAUACAGCCAUCCUUACGUGGAGGAUUAAAGAGAUGAAACAAAAUUGGGGUCAUGGAUGGAGACAAAGCAGCGAAGGGCCCUGGAAUUGGAAGAGAUGAAGGAACGGCCUGGAGUGGAACUCUUCAGUCUGUGGCCUUUGGGUCUCUGGAGCCUCUAUCAUUAACAGUGACCAUCUGGACACCAGGAAUUGUGCUCACAGCUUGUGUCUUUUGCUUUGUGUCUUAGGGCUUUGAGGCCCAAGCUCCCUGAAGGCAGAGACUACAUCUAUAUCUUUGUGGGGUGGAGACAUAGUGUGGCCAAGCAGCCACAUGGGAAGUGCCGAGGGGCAGGCAUCUUGAUCUGCCCAGGGAUGUGGGGAGGCUUCACAGAGAGAUGAAGUUCCAGGCAGAGAAGGGAACAGGGUGAGGGAAUCAAGGUGGAGGGUGGGGCACACAUUCAGGCAGGAAGGCCAGGAGAGGUAGCAGGCUGCAUUGAGGGGCACGCCCAGACUAUUAGUCAAGGCUGGAGAAGCAGCUCAAGGCUGUGCAUAGA
ensembl:lncRNA